rnacentral:misc_RNA from 1 species
GAGCCUUGAUCGCUAUCCACCGCCAAGCCCGCAGGUGGAUCUAAGAAGCACUUAACGAGCGAAAUGUCCAGCCAAGAGUCCCUCAAGGCUGCGAUGCGGGAGUCGCUGGAGGCGAACGGGACGAUUAGCCGCAUAAAGGCCGAGCUCCGCGCCGCCAUCUUCGAGCGACUCUCUGACGUCACUACCAACGGUGAUGACAGGGCUGCGGAAAACCCACCUGUGCCUCCAGAGAACAUGGUAAUCAAUGAGCUCAUCAAGGAGUACCUCACCUUCAACGGCCUAGAGCACACGCUGGCUGUCUUUCAGCUCGAGGCUCGAUCGCCGGACAGCCAAGUGCCGCGUCGCGUACUCGCGUCCGAGCUGAACAUGGCUGCCGCCCCGUCGUCCGUCCCGCUGCUCUACGCCAUGCUUCACGAGGCACGCCUCUCGAAAGAUCUGGGACAUUAGACGCCGUGAGUGCGCCCCCUCCCCUCCCCACGUGAAUGCAGGUUGCGCGCUCGGUCUCUUUGACCUUCCCCGCUUGCACGUGCGCCUUCUCUUCUUUCAAACAGUGGAGAUGAGGAUGCGGUGACUUCUGCUCUCCCAUGUUGUUGUUGCUGUUUUUCUUCGUGGGAUCGGGUGUGCCACUCGCUGCGUCCCGCCGUCGCCGACCAGCGGUGCUACGCAGACCUGUGCUUGUGCCUGCGUGUGCCUGUGGAGAAACAACAGAGAGAAGUGUUCAUGGGAUUCGUGUCUUUUCUGCACCCCUCCCUUUCCCCCCGGCGUGCUUGUCUUUUCUGGCCUCUCGUGCCGCUCCUCCACGGUGUGCUGUCUCUCUGCUAGACGACACUUCACCACUUCUGCAGUGGCGGUGGACGACGCGAGAAGAGAGGGUACGGAGAAUGGAGGGAGGGCAGCGCAUUGGUCGCGGGCGAGGGAUCACAAGCGACGCAUGCACACCGACCCUACCGCGCUUUGGCUAAUACACAGACGCCAAGGCACUUGCUCGUAUGCUUGCAUCGGGAACCUUCGCUCGCUUCCUCUUUCUGGCCCCUCCCCGUGCCCAUCGUUGCUCACCAUCUUGCGUUGCUCUUGUGCCACACACCGCGAGCGUUGGCACCCUCCCCUUCCGCCCUGUCCUUUUUUGUUUUGUUUGUUUCCGCCCCUCCGUCUCGUCAGCUCUCAUCAGCUCUCCCCCCCCCCACCCACACACACACACACGUGGGCCGCCCCUCCCUUCCGCACUCCCGCGCACUUUUUACGUUUUGCCCUCAG